GCCUCCGUGGUCUAGCGGUUAUGACGUUCGCCAUAUAUGCGGAAGGUCCUGGGUUCGAAUCCCGGUGGAGGUU